UACCCGAUAGGUCUCGAUUGCUGGAAUGCAUCGAGAUUUAAAGCUCCGGCGCCUAAGGAUGGGUCUGCGGCCUAUCAGGUAGUAGUGGGUGUAGCGUACCUACUAGCCUACGACGGGUACGGGUUGUGAGAGCAAGAGCCCGGAGAUGGAUUCUGAGACACGAAUCCAGGCCCUACGGGGUGCAGCAGGCGCGAAAACUUUACAAUGCUGGCAACAGCGAUAAGGGAACCUCGAGUGCCAGGUUACAAAUCUGGCUGUCGAGAUGCCUAAAAAGCAUUUCAUAGCAAGGGCCGGGCAAGACCGGUGCCAGCCGCCGCGGUAACACCGGCGGCUCGAGUGGUAACCGUUAUUAUUGGGUCUAAAGGGUCUGUAGCCGGCCGGAUAAGUCUCUUGAGAAAUCUGGCAGCUUAACUGUCAGGCUUUCAGGAGAUACUGUCUGGCUCGAGGCCGGGAGAGGUGAGAGGUACUUCAGGGGUAGGGGUGAAAUCUUGUAAUCCUUGAAGGACCACCAGUGGCGAAGGCGUCUCACCAGAACGGACCUGACGGCAAGGGACGAAAGCUAGGGGCACGAACCGGAUUAGAUACCCGGGUAGUCCUAGCCGUAAACGAUACUCGCUAGGUGUCGGCCACGGUGCGACCGUUGUCGGUGCCGUAGGGAAGCCGUGAAGCGAGCCACCUGGGAAGUACGGCCGCAAGGCUGAAACUUAAAGGAAUUGGCGGGGGAGCACCACAACGGGUGGAGCUUGCGGUUUAAUU
rnacentral:rRNA from 1 species